CUCCUCUCUUUCCUUGCCCCAAAUUUCAGAUCUGAUGAAAUCUCCCUCUCACUCUCUCAGUCCCUCCCUCACCCUUCUCUGAGUUCUCAGCUCCGACCUGCUCUCUCUGAGUUGUCUCGAACAGCCUCCUCUCUUUGCUUGCCCCAAAUUUCAGAUCUGAUGAAAUCUCCCUCUCACUCUCUCAGUCCCUCCCUCACCCUUCUCUGAGUUCUCAGCUCCGGCCUGCUCUCUCUGAGUUGUCUCGAUCUCCGAAUAUCGAAAUCCUCCUCCGCUCUCUCUGUCACGGAAUCAAAACUGAAGGUCAAGGCUUGACCGUUACUUUUUCUCAACAUCUCUCUCUCUCUCUCUCGCUGUGAUCAAAGCUUCUUCUUCUUCUUUGCAAUACCCAGGACUAUGAUCCUGAAUCUCAUUAUGGUCCACAUUCAUCUUAUUAUGGGCGCAAUCAAUCAUAUGGUGGGGGUCACUACUAUUAGACCCUAGAACUAUUCGGGUUCUACUCUACUUUUCGGUGGCUCUGUUUUCUUGUGAUUAACGUUUACAAAUGAAAAGGAUUUGAUUCGAGGCCGGCAUAGUCCCAUCUGUAUCCAGUUUGAUUUCAAAAGAGUUGCAGACUUGCAGAUUUGUGUACUUGUCGAGUUGUCAUGGAGGUUUGGACUUGUGGAGCAAGGCAGCAGGUCGAGCAACUAGAGCCUAAAGGCCUAGAGCAGUGCAGCUUCAGUUAUUUCUUAGUUGGACAGUUUGACUAUUUGUGCAGAACUGCAAAUUGUGUUUAACUGUUUAUGUUUCUGUUGGACAAUGUAUUCUGGAUUUCUGGACUCUUGAGUUUGUGUUGUAAAUUGUAAACUGUGGCUAAAUUUGAUUAUUGCAAAUUGAUUAUAGUUAUGUUAAUGAGAU
rnacentral:lncRNA from 1 species